GAGUUUGAUCCUGGCUCAGGAUGAACGCUGGCGGCGUGCUUAACACAUGCAAGUCGAGCGAUGAAGUUUCCUUCGGGAAACGGAUUAGCGGCGGACGGGUGAGUAACACGUGGGUAACCUGCCUCAUAGAGUGGAAUAGCCUUCCGAAAGGAAGAUUAAUACCGCAUAACGUUGAAAGAUGGCAUCAUCAUUCAACCAAAGAAGCAAUCCGCUAUGAGAUGGGCCCGCGGCGCAUUAGCUAGUUGGUGAGGUAACGGCUCACCAGGGCGACGAUGCGUAGCCGACCUGAGAGGGUGAUCGGCCACAUUGGGACUGAGACACGGCCCAGACUCCUACGGGAGGCAGCAGUGGGGAAUAUUGCACAAUGGGGGAAACCCUGAUGCAGCAAUGCCGCGUGAGUGAUGACGGCCUUCGGGUUGUAAAGCUCUGUCUUUGGGGACGAUAAUGACGGUACCCGAGGAGGAAGCCACGGCUAACUACGUGCCAGCAGCCGCGGUAAUACGUAGGUGGCAAGCGUUGUCCGGAUUUACUGGGCGUAAAGGGAGCGUAGGCGGAUUUUUAAGUGAGAUGUGAAAUACCCGGGCUUAAC
rnacentral:rRNA from 1 species